rnacentral:piRNA from 1 species
AGCGGGUGAGUGUGGGUGGCGUA